rnacentral:rRNA from 1 species
CGGCCGCAGAGUUUGAUCAUGGCUCAGAACGAACGCUGGCGGCGUGGAUAAGACAUGCAAGUCGAGCGCUGAUUCAAGGGUAGCAAUAUUCUUGAGUCGGAGCGGCGCAAGGGUGCGUAACACGUGGGUAAUUUGCCAUGAAGUCUGGAAUAACUUGCUGAAAGGCGAGCUAAUGCCGGAUGUGACUUCCGAAGGGCAUCUUUUGGAAUUCAAAGUUGGGGACCGUAAGGCCUGACGCUUCUUGAUAAGCCCGCGGUCUAUCAGCUAGUUGGUGAGGUAACGGCUCACCAAGGCUAAGACGGAUAGCUGGUCUGAGAGGGCGACCAGCCACACUGGAACUGAGACACGGUCCAGACACCUACGGGUGGCAGCAGUCGAGAAUUUUUCACAAUGGGCGAAAGCCUGAUGGAGCGACGCCGCGUGGGGGAUGAAUGGCUUCGGCCCGUAAACCCCUGUCAUUUGCGAACAAACCUUACCGGUUAACAACCGGUGAGCUGAUUGUAGCGGAAGAGGAAGGGACGGCUAA